ACCACCGUCUUCACGGACAUCAAGGAGUCCAGCACCAUGCUGUUGAAGAUAUCCUGAAAUGGCUGCCUGAUUAGCAACGGCUGUACAAGGGUGACCAGCUCCUGGUGAUGGCAAGACGAUGCAUGAGUUUGGCUUCCCCAGCCACAGGCCACAGCUGCAGUGGGGCUGGAUUUCUGGGUCGGGUCAGAGACACCUAUGAGGCCCUGCACAUCGAGCCCUUCUUCAGCCCACCCAUGCUGCCUGAUGUGAUGAAUCCCCAGGACUCAGGAAGCAGCACCAAUAAAUAAGCCUUCC
rnacentral:lncRNA from 1 species